AUUAAUUUACUUUGAUCAUAACAAAUUGAUUUUUUUUAUGUAGAUAUGAAUCCAUUGUUAAAAUUACAAGCUAAACAUCGAUCUCAAAAAUUUUGGAACAUCGAGGGACAUGAUAUGUAUUUAAAUACAUGUCGUGCCGAUACUGAAUUUUGGUUGCACAUACAGGAGCGUCCAUUGCAUCAUCGAAUCCUUCAAUAUUUAAGUUUUUGUGGAUUUAGAGGAAUUGUAGAAGUAGUAAACAUUCCUUACGAUGUUGGACUUAUAAGUGCGUUGGUUGAGAGGUGGCGCCCCGAAACUCACACAUUUCACUUGCGAAUUGGUGAGGCCACUAUUACAUUACAGGAUAUUGAAAUUAUGUUUGGAAUGGUUGUAGAUGGGAGUCCUAUACUUCUAGAAGGUUCUACCGAUUUAGGAAUCGUAGCUAGACGACAAAUGAUGCGUGACUUAACAGGAUGGGAAUCUCCUCUAGAUUGCUUUUCUAGAAUUAGAAGAAUACUUGUAUCUAAAUUAGCUGCAUAUGUAAAAGAGUUAGAUGAUAUUGCUGAUGAUACUCCCAAAAUUGAGGUGCAACAGAGAGUUAGGUUGUACCUUUUAUGGUUGUGCGGAGGUGCAUUAUUUCCAGACAAAUCCAAUUCUAAAAUAUCUUUGGACUAUUUAAUCGACUUGCAAGACUUAAAUGCAAUGUCGACAAAGGCUUGGGGCGCAGCUGCAUUGUCAUUUUUAUACUAUUCUUUAUGUCGUGCAUCCAUGUCUUCAUCUAGCGAUGUAUGUGGAUUUCUUGCCUUAGUUCAGGUAUGGGCAUGGAAGCGUAUUAUUCCACUUCAGCCAGCUCCGCACCCUCUGGGGGCAAACCAUCAUAAGGCCUCGGCUCCACUUGCACGUAAGUGGAGAUGAGUUUAUUUGGGAGCCCUAUUCAGAAGAAAUACACAAUGAAUUACCCGUAUGGUGCCAGAGGGGAAAACCUAUUUGGAUGGCUAAGGUGCCACUUAUUUGUGGAAUAGUUCGUGAGUGGCAUUUGGUUGAUCGUGUUGUUAGACAAUUUGGUUAUCUCCAACAUGUAUCUGGAUCGUGUACUCACUUUCACGAACAACAUUUUAAGCGUGAUAACCGAAAUAGAAUAACACAAGAAGUUUUAAAUAUGUAUAACGAAACAAAAAAUACGUGGGAUACACGCAUGUUAACCCCGUCAUAUAAACAAUCAAUUAGAGUACAUUCAUUGGUAUUGUACUUAUGCUCGCAUGUUAAUUGGAAAUCCAGAGCAUGUUGUUCAAAGAGGAUAUCAACACAUGGCAGGCAGACAUGAGGCGUUGGAUAUGGGACAUCAAACCAUUUAUCGGAUGGCUCAAUUGGUUUUACGUGAUUCAAGAGCAACUAGCGAGAUGUAUGAAUUUGCAUCAGAGGUUGCUCGUAUUUCUUCAGAAUCAAUGAAUUCUACCUAUCUAGGAACAUGAUUGAGCUUUGCUCCUACUUAUGCACCACCAACUCAAUCUACGGAAUCACCCCCAGUGCAAGUUCGCCAUCAGGGACGUCAAUUUGCAUCUACAGAUAGUACGCAUCAGGGUAAAAGAGGUGGUCGCAGAGCAGAUAGUAUGGCAGAUCGUAGCG